rnacentral:rRNA from 1 species
AUUGAACGCUGGCGGCAGGCCUAACACAUGCAAGUCGAGCGGCAGCACAGUGAUUGCUUGUGGAUACGGCGGGGGAGGGGCGGGUGGUGCAGAGAAACAUGCCUAGCAGCUGGGGAUAACGUGCGGACGCGGGGGCACAUACCGCAAAACUCCAGACGACGUACGGGGGGGAGCAUCGGAUCUUCCGACCUUACACGAGUCAAGGAGGCGAUGUCGGAUUAGUUAGUUGGAGGGGUAAAGGCCCACCAAGGCGACGAUCCGUUACUGGUCUGAGAGGAUGAUCAGUCACACUGGAACUGAGACACGGUCCAGACUCCUACGGGCGGCAGCAGUGGGGAAUAUUGGACAAUGGGCGAAAGCCUGAUCCAGCCAUGCCGCGUGUGUGAAGAAGGUCUUCGGAUUGUAAAGCCCUUUUGUUUGGGAGGAAGAGCAGCAAGUUAAUACCUUGCUGUUUUGACGUUACCAACAGAAUAAGCACCGGCUAACUUCGUG